rnacentral:rRNA from 1 species
GACGAACCGUGCGAACGUUGUUUGGAAUCACUGGGCUUAAAGGGCGCGUAGGCGGGCUGUCAAGUCUGGGGUGAAAUCCCGCGGCUCAACCGUGGAACUGCCUUAGAUACUGACGGCCUCGAGGAAGGUAGGGGCAUGCGGAACUGUAGGUGGAGCGGUGAAAUGCGUUGAUAUCUACAGGAACUCCGGUGGCGAAAGCGGCGUGCUGGACCUUUUCUGACGCUGAGGCGCGAAAGCUAGGGGAGCAAACGGG